rnacentral:rRNA from 1 species
GAUGAACGCUGGCGGCGUGCCUAAUACAUGCAAGUCGAGCGAACAGACGAGGAGCUUGCUCCUCUGACGUUAGCGGCGGACGGGUGGGUAACACGUGGAUAACCUACCUAUAAGACUGGGAUAACUUCGGGAAACCGGAGCUAAUACCGGAUAAUAUAUUGAACCGCAUGGUUCAAUAGUGAAAGACGGUUUUGCUGUCACUUAUAGAUGGAUCCGCGCCGCAUUAGCUAGUUGGUAAGGUAACGGCCUACCAAGGCAACGAUGCGUAGCCGACCUGAGAGGGUGAUCGGCCACACUGGAACUGAGACACGGUCCAGACUCCUACGGGAGGCAGCAGUAGGGAAUCUUCCGCAAUGGGCGAAAGCUUGACGGAGCAACGCCGCGUGAGUGAUGAAGGUCUUCGGAUCGUAAAACUCUGUUAUUAGGGAAGGACAAAUGUGUAAGUAACUAUGCACGUCUUGACGGUACCUAAUCAGAAAGCCACGGCUAACUACGUG